rnacentral:lncRNA from 1 species
AGGCUUUUCUCUGUUUUCCUCCUCUUUAGCCAUUGCUUCUUGAAUCAUAUCUUUGAUCUUCUUUAGGGGCAAUUUAAACAUGUUCGCAUCCCGCGGGAAGCGAAAAGCCAGAAAUAGAAUUUCCUCAGGUUUAAGAACCAAAAGGAGUUUAUCCAGAUUUGGUACCAAACCCGGGAAAAACCCUAAACAAGAUCUUAAAAAAUCUUUAUAAGCAGGGUUAUAGGAAUCCUGAGAUUCCCCUCCCUCCGCUUUGGGUGGCUUCCACUGCUUGCGCGAGUGAGCAAUUAUAUUGCGGAUAUCCCCCAGUUCCAAGAUCUCGAGCAGAGAAAAGUCCCGGGGGAACGUGUGCACCAUGAAUAGGAUCUCCUCAGGUUCCGAGAAUGAAAGAAGUGAGUCUAUCUUGCACUCUAAACCAGGGAAAUCUUUAUAUUCCGAGCACAAAAGCCACCCCUUAAAGGUUUCUUUGUAAUUGUCAGGCGGUCCCCCUGCUCCGGAGGAGAAGCUUCUUCUAUGGCUAUGGCCAAAAGGAGAAAUAGUCCUGUUCACUAUAUGGCUAUGGCCAAAAGGAGAAAAGGAUCCGGUGCAAUGAGUCUCAUCCGUGUAAUAUUUUGGAAUUCCUCUUCCAACUCGUCCUGGAAUGGGUGUUAUGGCAAAGAACAAGAAGAAAAAGACAGAAGGAAUUUGUCCAAUAGUAACAAAUGGUGCCUCCACAGGUUGACAUCCGAUCCAACCUAGUAGUAAGCAAUCCGCCAAAAGCAACCAAAAUAUUCCUUCGUGAAUCGGUCGAAAACUUGAACUACGCACAUACAUUUCUUUAAAAAAAGGUAAAGCCAAGAGAGAUGUAAAAACUGGUGCUAUUGCGGCUACACCUCCCGCUUUGUCAGGUAUACUGCGAAGAAUGGCAUGGAUUGGUAGGAAAUACCAUUCCGGCACAAUAUGAGGCGGGGUGGGCAUCGGAUUAGCAGGUAUAUAAUUGUCGGGAUGCCCCAAAACAUUAGGAGCAAAAAAAAUCCAAAUGGAAAAAAAGAUAGCAGAAGCUACCCGACCUACAAGAUCCUUUACAUAAAAAUAAGGGUAAGAAGCAAUUUUAUCCAUCUCAGAAUGUACACCCAAUGGAUUAUUUGAUCCAUAUUGAUGCAAUGCAGCCAGAUGAAGAAGACUGGCGCCUACUAAAAUAAGGGGGAGUAAAUGAUGGAGACUAAAAAAACGAUUUAAGGUGGCAUUGUCCAUGGAGAAACCACCCCAAAGCCAAGUCACUAUGGUAUCUCCUACUAUUGGUAUGGCGCUAGCUAAGCUUGUAAUUACUGUUGCUCCCCAAAAGCUCAUCUGACCCCAAGGUGGUAUGUAUCCUAUAAAAGCUGUCACAAUCAUUAAUAGGAAUAUGACAACUCCGAGACACCGAACAAAUUCCCUAGGACUGCUAUAACUCGCAUGAUAUAGACCACGAAAAAUAUGAAGGUGAACCACAAUGAGAAACAUACUUGCCCCAUUAGCAUGCAUAUAACGGAGCAACCAGCCCCCUUCAACAUCUCUCAUAAUGUGUUCUACGCUGUUGAAAGCUAGAUCCACAUGAGGUGUGUGAUGCAUAGCUAAAAAAAUGCCAGUCACUAUCUGAAUGACUAAAUAAAUACCUGCUAACGAACCGAACCCCCACCAAUAACUAAGAUUGCUCGGGGUUGGAUAAUCUAUCAAAUGCUGGUUAAGUGUGGAGUAUAUAGGUUGUUUAAGAAGAGAGAAUCGUUGGUUCCUUAUAGUAAUUUCUCUUUUCUAUCGUUACAACUCCUCUUCCCCCUUAUUUACCCCCUUGCCUUGAUGGAAAUUGGCUUCGCUGCGCCCUGAAUAAUCAAAAAGCUGCAUGAGAAGAUUCAUCCCAUUUUGGUGAGAGGGAGGCAGCGAAUCACCUGGGCUACGGAUUUGUCGGUUAGUUGAUUCUCAAAAUAAGGUCAUUCGAAAAAAAACUGCCGCUUUCUCUGCCGGUUUCUUAAGGCUUCAAACGAAUGACUAGUCAUUAAGAAACCCAUGAAAUCCAAGUCUAUUUUUGACCUUUCAUGAAGAAGUUUUGCCUGCGCGCAAACUACCUAGCCCUUUUCAAAAGAACGUCAAUUUCCAUCUCAACAAAGAAAGAACUCAAUAAAUGAAAGCAAUAUUGUUGUCCUAUUACUCUUUUUUCCUUGUGGAGCUUUGGAAAGGAGAGAAUUUGAAUAAAGUAACUCUCGGAAACUCUUAUUGGACGAGAGAGAGUCAAUAUGAUAUUGGCGUGGGUUCUACCAACUAAAUGAAUCAUUUUUGGAUUGGAUAAACAGCGUAUAAUGAUAGACGCUUCUUCGGCACACAUGGAGAUAUACCUCCCGUAGCUGACCCCUGAAUUCAAGGAUACUGCCGGCUUUGUUACUAACUGAUAGAAACCCCUUAAUACAACGUUCGUUUUUCAUAAAUUUCAUAAGGUAGGUAGACCCGGUCUUGCGCUCGUCCGGUUAAGUGGCACAUUGUGCUAAGUGCUCGAACCGUUGGCUGAUCUCAGUUGUAUCGCCUCAUAAAAAUUAGUUAAGCGAGAAAACAAACGGCUACAUAGGAGCUCUAUGGUGGACCACCAGCAGGAAGAUCGAAUGGCUUAGCGCAUCCUGCGCCUACUGGACCUGACUUCGUAGGAUACUCUGAUAGACUAGUCGAAUGGCAAUGGCCUAGUGGUUGUAUCUGCUUGCCGAUUCCUAUUAAGAAUACGAGAGUGACAAAUGAGAUGGAGAUCUUGGCUAUCAUCAAACCAUCCUCCCUCCACUUAUCUCUUUCCUUUCUAUAUGAUAAGUCUACUCGCGCCUCAAGGGCCGGUCAUUUACACUCUCCACUGCAUGAACAACAUUCCCAACUAGAUCUGUACGGCUUCCGUUGUCUUCUUUUCGAUUCCCGACUCUAGCUCACAGGUAUCCAUAAGAGAAACCGGCCCUGAAUGCUUAAACCUAUCAAUCCUCUCCUAAAUUUCUUUCUUUUUGUCGUUGGGCAAGGAGCAAUCCAUUCAGCACUUUCCGAUGGGGACCAAAAGCCACUGGGCUACCAAGAAGUCGGAUUCAGUUCAGUCCCGUUUUCAAGAUCCGGUUCAGUGUUUGGGGAUGGCUUGGUCCAAGCCCACAUCCAUAGUAGAUGGACUUGAGCAGGCAAGUAUGCCACCUACUGAUAUGAUUGAUUAUGACAAUUAUGAUAUGGACUGGACGGUUGUGCAACCGAUUGUACUGACUCGCUUACCCCCGAGAACACCUAAGACAUGGGGGUUAUUUACGCGAGUAAGCCUAGCAAGGACCAAGAUCUCGAUCUAGCCUAGUUGGGGCUUGAGAGUCACAUGACACAGUACCAAGAACGGGAGAACCAGUAACAAUUGAUACGGAUUUCCAACCAAUGGAUCUUCUUAACUUUGGACCGGAACCUUUAGUUGUUUCCUACUCGGUCUACAGCUUGGUUUGAAAUGAGGGAGCCAUACCGUGUGGUUGAAGCAGAGUACCUUUUGCAGUGGAUAGGGCACUAUCUCUAUUCGUAGCAGCAUUGCGUAUUGCUCUCACUAGGAAAGGGGGACAUAACCCCUACUAUAGAGCAGGAAUGGAAGGGAAUGAGCUCGGCUGCUUCUCCCCCACACUUCUUUAUUUCUCCGUGCCCCUAUUUAGUUAGUACUUUCGAGUUAAGAGCGAGAAAACGAACUAUUUCAUUUAAUAAAAAAAGUGCAACGGCUGUAGAGUGAAAAGGCCAUGAGGAUGGCUACGGCUUUGAAGCUCCUUUAUCUACCAUAGAUAGAAUGGAAGAGUUUUUUCUCAUUGCACUGAUCCACCAAGGCUAGGGAUAUCCAAUGGGAUGGAGCUAUUUCCCUUGGCACCUUAGAGUCCUCAGACGAUGAACAAAGAACUAGAUGCCCUAAUCUACUCCUAUGCUAAGUGUCUUUGUUUGGUUUGAUUUCUUAUGAAAGCGGCUAGCCCCAUCACUAAAGCAUGCCUGUUCCAUAUGAAAGGUGAUGUAGGUAGGGCUGGUAGGGGAAGUAAGAAAUAGGUGAGACUCGUUAAUGAAACUAGCCUUCAGCCUUAGAUUUCUAAGUUCUGUUUCCACCAUUACUAGUGUUUCCUUGCUUUUCAUAAUAGAAAAAGAUCAACUAAACUAAACCAGAGAUUGUCGUAGAGAUUGGCAGGACUGGGUAUUAUUCUGGGUGAUGAAAUGGAUGGAAUUUCUUGAAACAUAACUCACUUCACUUAUAAUCGAAUUUGGAAAAGGGAGACUAGUUGCUGCAAUAAAUCAAGAAGAAAGCAGGCGCAAAAGAGAAGCUCAAUGAGAGAGAUUCUAGACCGGUCAUGGUCGGGGCUGAUCGAUCGCUCCUUAAAAGGGAGUUAACUGCUUCGAACCAUACAUGAAACUUAUCUCAUAGAGUGAGCUAGCCCCAGAUAGCGAAGGAUAGCUAUUGACUUAUUGGGAAACCCGCCUCCAAUACAUGCUUAUCCCAGACCCCCUAUUCCUUCAUUUUAGGUUAUGGCCGAUUCAAUAACAUAGUUCGCACACCUCUUUUCAAUUCUCUAGAGAUAGUUGUCAUUUAUCUCUUCUUCCGGGUCCCUCCUAUUUGGUUGGAAGUUUCCUGCUCCAGUUGGGAAAGCAAGGGCCCUAGUUUCAUUAUUGAGUCUCGUUAUGGUCGAAUAUGAAUGAAUCCUGGAAUGGAAUAAAAACAUGAGUAAAAUGCAUCGUAGUCCCUCAAUCGAACAGUCAACUAGUUCAUAUCUAACCUUAUGUAUUCUUUUCCUACACCUUAGCUUCAAAUAAUUGAAUGAAUGAGUGAUAUUUCAAAGUUCAAGUUUAGGUAUUAGCUCACUACAGUUUAGUCAGUAGUUCUGUCCCUUUGUUCGGUGAACUAGUUCUGGAUAUAAGCAUUAGAAUGAGAGUGGCUACGUAUUCGGAUUACUUGACUCGCUUUCCUGUUUCCGAAUCCCUUCUUGCAUACAAUCCUAAUUCACAAUCCGAUUCUUGCUCGAUUCUAUAAUGAAAAACAGACCUUGUGCCAUGGAUUUGAUGAAGCUUGAAAGGACUCCCCUUGUUCCAAGCCAAAGAUAAGAAGCAUACGGGUGACAACCCUCUUCCUUAUAUAUCAAUCCAAUUACCGGAGGAACGAAGAACUAAGUUUGCCUGACGCCCGAAAACAACUUGUUUGUUUUGGUGGAAGAGGAAGAAAUAGAGAAAGAUCGCCGCUUUUCAUAUGCUAAUUCGUGAUUCAAAGUAGAGCGAGUGAGGGAGCUAUACCCGGGACUCAAUCAACAUAUGCCAAGUGUUCUGUAAUCUAUGGGCAGCACUCCGUAGGAAUGUUAUAGUCUAGGCAUGUCGUAGUAGUCAUUAGACAGAAAGAGGCGAAACUUAACAUGUCUUAUUCCGAAUUCCUGCAGUUGUCAUUAUGUUCCAGCAAGGAAAUAGUCAUUCUUUCAUUCUGAGCAUUCGACUAACGGCACAGAUUUCUAGUGCUAUAACAGAAACUGCCCUUAACGCGCAAAUGAAAGCCCUCACAACACUCUUUACCUGCAACUGCUCCCGCUUAUGGUAGUAGAUAAACAGGUGGUGGACAUGUAUCUGCAGCCUCUGCUGCUGGUAGAUUGACUGUUUUAUAUGGACUGAAAAAAAACGGAGGGUAGUGCUUGAGAAUGCUACUCUAUUCCUGGAAUUAGCCAUCCCCUUAUUUGACUAUUCGACCUGCUCCUCGAAGCAAGGAAGGGAAUGAAGAUGGCAUAGAAUGCCCUUUCCGCAAGAAGGAUAGGAGUUGGCUUACCGCAUUUACCUUCUCAUCGCGGGAUAAGGGCUGGGGUAUUAACUUAAGUACUAAAGCUGCUGGAGCGGCUGCCUUCGUUGAUUCCCCACGAAGGAAUCAGAAUAUCGCUACUUCCCCUUACUGCCCUAAGCGGGGGAGAUGGAUUAAAAACCUUGUGUGAAGGAAAGGCUGUCAAAGUCGUUGACCAUUAAUCCGAUUGAAGGACAAAUGGACAGUGAAUCAACGGAAUCGAGUUGUUCUAAGGAUUCGGAUUCGGCAGUCGAGACAUCUAUAUCUAUGGAAUUUCAAAAGAGAGAAAAGGAUCCGAAUCCGACCCGAGGACGAGCUCAAACCUUAGGGUUUGAAAAGAAGAAGUAAAGCUCUCGUUUACUUUAAUCAAAAAAGGUAGGUCAUAACACAGAUUGAAUUAGACCUUACUCAAUCACUCAUCGCUGGAAAAAGUAGAGCGAUUUCCUCGCAAAAAAAGCACGAGCGAGAUAUUCUUCCUUAACAGGGAUCUCAAUUGCGGGAAGAAGUACAAAGGGCAAAGGCAGAAGUGGAAGGGUCAAACUCCUCUAUCCGGGAAAGAAAGGAAGGAUCAAAGUGUAAAAUCACUUGUUUGAAACAUCUAUAAAAUAGAAAUGGCUAUUAGAAGUUGUAUUUUCGGUGGUCAAAGGGAAGGAAUCAGAAAAGAGGGAAGCGCUCUCAAGGUAGAAUCAGUUCCAGGCAAGUAUUCCAUUGAAAGGAAAGAGUCCCUAAACAGACAGGUUUUUAGCAAAUAAGACGGGUCCUGGUCUUCGGCAACAAAAGAAGCCGAAGCGAGAGCUCGAUCAAAGAACCUUUAUAGAUCCUCAUCAUCCUCAGGUUCUGGAUACACAGCGAGAAGGGAAUCUUUCUGUUCAAAUGGAAGAUUUUCGAAAGAGAGGGGAGAAAUCAAUCACAUGCGUGAGCGGAUCGAGCUAUUAUAUAAUAAGUAACGGCUGAAAAAGCUAUUCUUGGUAGAUCCACUUGUCAAGGCGCGGAAAGCCGUGUUCCUUCUCAGCUCACGCUUUCCUGAUUGAUUUGAAAGACCCUACACACCACCGUAUCCUUGGCUUUCUUCCCACUUUCAAAGAACUUGCUAGCAUUCUUUCGAUUCUAUCUCCUCGCUUUAGGUCUUAUGCUUCUUAUUAAAGGGGUUAUGCCACUCCGAGUCCAUCAGUGUUGAAGGAAUGGACAAAGACAGGCAAAGACAAAGUACUGAUUUUACUACCGAUAGAGAGCAGAGCUAGAGACAAGAUGCCUAGGACCUGGAGGAGAUCCAUAAGAACCAAGUCGUGGAGAAGAUAUCAUCAAACUGGAGAUAAUAAACCUAACUCUCCGUGCUUUAAUCGAGAAUGGAUAUAGGGUCGUCGAGUGAAACCUUUAUUAGGGGGUAGACCUACCUUGUUUUGUUGACUUAUUGCUUUCCAGCAAAGCGUGCCGGCCCUACCUCUAAAGCACCAAACUUUCACAUUUUAGGAGAUGCCCUAUCUUCCCUUAAAGAGCCAGCUUAUUGAAUAGAGCUGUCACUCCUUACCUUACCUAAGACCCCUUCGGGAUAUCUUUUGAAAACCUUUUCUCUGAAAAGAAAAGAUGUUUGCAAUCCCUUGCCCGCUCGAUUAAAGAAAGUGGGAUCUGGCCUUGCAUUUUUUAGAUAGGGCUCCCUCACGGCAUUCUUGCUCUUGCAUUUGAAAGUCGAAUCAGGAUUCCAUCUAGAGAAAGGUUCC